CAGCCAGCUAAAGCAUGUAAAAUGAAAGGGUUUUUGUGUACGUCAGCCAGCUACACUAUUCCACAGCCAGACAGAACCCAUCACUCUGCUUGGCUGACUUGCAACUGUAACGUGGCCUAAGGGAGAAGUGGUCAGCAAGUAUGUCUGGCACAAAGCCAUCUCCACUACUGGAAGAACAGUGUGACCUGCAUACCAUACUAAUGUUGCCUCUUCCUCCUUCUUUUCUCCAAUUCUAAACCACCCAGAAGGCGACAGCAUAAAAAAUGAAUAAACCAGGAAUUCAGAUUUUUUGUGAGUGCCAAAAAAAAAAAAUGGAAGGAAUGGAAAAGGACGAGAGCCAGAAGAUUCCCUUCACACACAGUCAAUUAUUAGGACUGAUGUCAUGCUAUUCCUGGACAAUGUCCCAUUGAUAAGCGAUGUGGUAUCUGCUAUAUUCUUCCCAUGCAGGGACCUGGAGAAACCAAAAACGGAAUGGAAUAUUAUAGUCCAAAAAAAAUCAAAGAAGUUCAAUUUGCAACCCAAAUUGACAGAUACUGAAAACCUGAGCCUAAUCAUCAAAGAAAAAAAAAUGUAUAUUUUUAAGAGGAGGCAUUUGAAGCAUUCCUGGAGGGGAAAAGCAUAUUCAAACAGAAUAUCAAUUUGCAAAAACACCCAAACAGGAGAAACUUAAGAAAUUGACAACAGCUAUGCAUGGACAAAGCAGAGGCUGAUCUCCCUAGUAGAAGAAAAGCUAAAAGAUCUAAAGAGACAUUUCUGCUUUCUAGAUGAAGAAGUUCUUUGAAAGCAAGCAAGAAGCACUUCAAAGCAAGAACAAACAAAAAAGAACAUGAAGAAGUAGAGGGACAUCCCAACAAGGGUCAGGAAAUUGUGAGGUGGAAGAAUGUACUAAAGAAAAGAAAGGGAAGAAUAAUUACUGUGCAGCUUUAUCACUGGCAUGCUGCUCUUCCCACAAAAAAUAAAAGUAAA